ACCCUGACCAAAACAGACCGCGCACGCGUCACCCAACCUGUCGACGACGACAUCGUUCGUCGCUCGGCCAAGUCCUCGAAAACCUCCUCUCCUCGGAGUGGGGGCUCGGGGUAAAAGAACCCACGGCGCCAAAGGCGUCAAGGAACACUGUGCCUAACCCGGGGACGCGGCUGGCUUGCUAGCCGCCCCCCGUGUUGCAAUGCUAUUUAAUCCACACGACUCUCGGCAACGGAUAUCUCGGCUCUCGCAUCGAUGAAGAACGUAGCGAAAUGCGAUACCUGGUGUGAAUUGCAGAAUCCCGCGAACCAUCGAGUCUUUGAACGCAAGUUGCGCCCGAGGCCACUCGGCCGAGGGCACGCCUGCCUGGGCGUCACGCCAAACACGCUCCCACCCCCUCAUCGGGGAGUGGGACGCGGCAUGUGGCUCUCCAUCACGCAAGGGGUGGAGGGCCGAAGAUUCGGCUGCCGGCGUAUCGUGCCGGACACAGCGCGUGGUGGGCGACCUCGCUUUACUUACCGCAGUGCAACCGGCGCGUAGCCGACAUUACGGCCGUGAAUGACCCUAUGAACGGAGCGCACCGACGCUUC
rnacentral:rRNA from 1 species